UGUAGUCCAGGAACCGCUUUUGCAUAACCUCAGUAGAUAAAGCAUGCUGAGGUCAUGUCAGAUCAUUUCAAGCUCUUCUGUGUCGAGCUGAGGAGCUGCUCUGUGCCCGGCUUACAGAACUGGAAGGGGGAGCCACCUUCCGCCUGAUGGAGGCUGGAGAACGGAUGGAACCUGGAUCCCUGGAGCCUGGGACACUACCUCGCUGCGGUUGGUGGUGGCCACAGACCAGUAGGAGGGCGGCUGGCAGCGGGAGCUUCUUCUGCCGGGCUGGAGGACUAGGAGAAGGGAGAGGGAACGCCACAUGCUGGAGGCUGGAGCCUGUGCCACCGUGGCUCACCUCGAUGUGGUUGGUGGCAGCUCGCCUUGCUGUGGUUGGUGGUGACGUCGGAGACUGCAGCUCGGCCACAGUGGUAGAAAUGUGUUGGGCUUUUGCUGUGUUGGGCACUUGCUCCCAUCUGCUUGCUUCUCUAGAAUCCACUGCCCUAGAAUGAGUAAUUUUUCUUAGAAGCAGAGUUGGAACCACUGAGGAAGCACAGGUGAGCCCUCCCCAGCACACACUCGCUAGUCCCCAACAGAAGAACUGUUGCUGCAUCCAUUGAGGUACCAAGAAACUAGCAAAGGGCCUUCUGGCUGUCUGGGGACAGUCCUCAUGUGGUCCCUGGCUCAGCCUCAAGGGUUCUGGAUUAAUUUGUCUGCAGCCUCUGUGCUGUGUCUCUAGAUCGGGGCUCUGUGGGAAGGGCCCUGGGAGACCCAGCAGCACAGGGUGUCUCGUCUGCCAAAUGUCCCUCCCUUCUCCCACUCUGACACUCAGGAAUAGGGUAGAUGGCAUGUCCAGGCAGUGCCAGGCCACCUCAUUGUCUCCUUUGAGAUGGGCCCAGAGGGCCUUGGGGGGCGAGUGUGAAGCUGGGUACCUGGAGCCUGAGGCUGACUGUCCCUUCCUAUGUCUUGGAGGAGAGGCCUUGGGGCCCAAGAAACCCCCCCGGGCCUGAUCUCUGGGCACACAUGCAGGGAGGGAGGGUCUGUGGGCUGAUUGGGGCAUUGUAAUGAGACGUUGAGCACCACUGCACAGGGGCCUCGUCAGUGGAUCAUGGUCAGAGAUGACCUAGCCAUCAGGACCUGGUCAGUUGGGACCAGAUCAGCAGGGACCUGGCUAGGGGGUGGCCUCCUCAGUGAAGGCCUCACCAGUAGGGAUCUGGUGACCUAGUCAUUGGAAGCCUAGUCAGUGGGGACCUGGUCAGUGGUGGCCUUAUUAGUGGGGCCUGAUCGGUUGGAACAUAAACAAUAAAAAACUGGCCGGUGGGGUCUAUUCAGUAUAUUAGGGGUCUGGUCAGUGUGGGGCCUUAGUGGCUCGGAGCCUGGUCAGUGAGGGCCUGGUCAGAGGGGGCUCGGUCAGCUGGGGACUGAUCCAUGGAGAAUUGUUCAGUGGGGGUGAGGUGAGGGGCAACCUGGUAAAUUGUGGUCUUGUCAGUGGGAACCCAGUCAGUGGGGUCUGGUCCGUGAGGCCUAUUAAUAGGGACCUCUUCCUGGUUAUGGAGACAUGGCCAGUGGGGACUUGGUCAGUGGGACCUGGUCAAUGGAGGAGUGGUCAUUAGGGGCCUUGUCAGUGGGGACCUGGUUUGGGGGGCGCCUGGUCAGUAGGAACCUGGCCAGUUGGCCGCUGUGUGACCUUAGGCAGGGGGUUUGUGGAGCCUCCUUGCUUCCAUGUGUAGGAAGGUGAGUCAGGGCACCCUGGAGCGUUGCUGGAAAGAGAAUGUGAGAAGAUGUGUUGAAUUCAGCACUGCUUGGCAGACCUCCAACUUUACACACAACCUGGGUUCCACCUAGAGAGGGUACCAGCCCGCUCUACUCUGCUCGGCGCCCCUCCU
rnacentral:lncRNA from 1 species